rnacentral:rRNA from 1 species
GGAGGACAUGCGGGGAGCKKAUACAGUAGCAUGGAAUAAUAGAAUAGGACGUGCGGUUCUAUUUKGUUGGUUUCUAGGACCGCCGUAAUGAUUAAUAGGGAUAGUCGGGGGCGUCAGUAUUCAGCUGUCAGAGGUGAAAUUCUUGGAUUUGCUGAAGACURACUACUGCGAAAGCAUUCGCCAAGGAUGUUUUCAUUAAUCAGGGAACGAAAGUUAGGGGAUGGARGASGAUCAGAUMCCGUSGUAGUCUUAACCAUAAACUAUGCSGACUAGGGAUCGGGCGGUGUUUCUAUGAUGACCCSCUCGGCACCUUACGAGAAAUCAAAGUUUUUGGGUUCUGGGGGGAGUAUGGUCGCAAGGCUGAAACUAAAGAAUGACGAAGCUCCCACAGGGC